rnacentral:lncRNA from 10 species
AGUACAUAGUGAUAUUUUGAUACCUAUAAUAUAUAGUGAUCAGAUCAGGGUAAUUGGCAUAGCCAUCAUCUCAAACACUUAUCAUUUCUUCGAGUUGGGAACAUUCUUGACUUGGGGUUAUUGAACUUUGAAAAUCCCAUGUGAUUGACCUAAGUUAUGUUCUAUGUCAGGUCCUGAUGAUUCAAGGUCAGAAGUAGUUUGAUGUCAGGGAGUUUAAUGCUGCCCAGCAUGGGUAGAAUAACCUUGUUGCAUUACAUGACCCUAUUUCCCUGACCAGAGCAGAUUGAUCAGGGCUGGAGUUGGGUCCCAAGCUAAGCUUGUCAUAUUUUCUCUUUCUUGGGAAUUGUGAUAGAGUCUAAAACAGUUUAAUUGGUUUGAGAUAAUUACAUGACCUGAGGCAGAGAUUGCAAACUGGUGGCCCAUGGGCUGAAGCUGGUUCAUAAAUAAGUUGAUUCUAUUUUUUUUGCCUUUAAAAAUCUUUGAAUUAGGUGCCCAUGUUUUCAAAUCAGGAGAGUUCACAAAGAAGUCUGGAUCUCUGGCUCUUUUUAAAAAUCUGUUUUAAAAAAGAAAGAUUUAGCAACACUGCAGUUGCGUUCCCAUAUGACAAUUGCCAGAGCUGGCUGAAUGGUGGUGGCCCUGUCUGACAUGGCAUGGGAUUAUCAUUUUGAUUCCUGUGGACAUGUGAGUUUGAAAGCUCUGUCUUCCCUGUCAAUGAACAUUCAAAUUCAGAAGUUGUGAUAUGGUUAUGAGUACAUAGAAAAAUAGAGCAAACAUGUUCAAAAGAGAGAAUGGAGGGAGGAAAGAGAGAGCGGGUAAGAUAUUAUAAAUACGAAAAUGAGAGAAGCUGUAAUGAAGAACUAAAUUAUAUUUUCUGCAGAGAUAUUCAGACAGUACAUUCUCAGGUUCUGGGUGC